rnacentral:lncRNA from 1 species
UCAAUUUUUGGCGCCGUUGCCGGGGAUUGGUAGCAUAGUUGUUUUUCUUUUUAUUAAAAAAAUUUUCAAAAAAAAUUUUCAAAAAAUAAAAAAAAUAAAAAUAGUUUCUAUUUUUACUUUCCUUAUCUCCUUCUCCUCUCUUACUAAUUUUUGAUUUUUCUUGGUAUCAUUUGAUCAGGAACCAAAGAGGAAGUUUGGGACAAUCAGAAAUGGAACGACUGAAAAAGGAAUACUGUAGAGGUUUGCUUUUUAAAAAAAAUUGCUGGAAAUUCUGGUAACAUCUGAACCUUUCUUAUUUCAAAUUGAUUCCCAUCUAGCCUGCAAGUUGCGGUGAUUGUUUGAUUUCGAUUUUUUUUUACAAAAGUGUGAAUGCAUGCUUGAUACACAUGCACCAAUUAAUCUGCACAUAGUAAGGGCAAUCACCCCAACAAGAUAAAAACUGGAUUUCAUCACCAGAUUCUUGCCCAAAUUAGGUGAAUCAAUUAUCACAUAGUUUUCACCUUAAUUAAAAUCAAUUAGACGUUGGCCCCUAAGGACAUUCGAGCUCAAUAGGAUGAAGAUCACCGAAAGUUGCACCAAUUUCGCUCUAUGGCUUAGUUGAUGUCUAGGCAAGCUUUGUCCCUUUAAGGGAGACAGUUCAUCUGUUCGAGGCAAGUGGUUUUUAAGUGGGACCUUUGCAACGCAUCGUGACCCCCCCACUUACCUGGGAGCUUACCUGGUCAGCUCAGUCAUUAGACCGGAUUGGAGGCUU